rfam:Schistosoma mansoni strain Puerto Rico chromosome 2, complete genome
AUCCAUCUGACGAGUCCCAAAUAGAACGAAACGCGCGUCGAACUUGAU